rnacentral:rRNA from 1 species
UCCUACGGGAGGCAGCAGUAAGGAAUAUUGGUCAAUGGACGCAAGUCUGAACCAGCCAUGCCGCGUGGAGGAUGAAGGUCCUCUGGAUUGUAAACUUCUUUUAUUUGGGACGAAAAAAGGGAAUUCUUUCUCACUUGACGGUACCAGAUGAAUAAGCACCGGCUAACUCCGUGCCAGCAGCCGCGGUAAUACGGAGGGUGCAAGCGUUAUCCGGAUUCACUGGGUUUAAAGGGUGCGUAGGCGGGUAUGUAAGUCAGCGGUGAAAUCCCCGAGCUUAACUUGGGAACUGCCGUUGAUACUAUAUAUCUUGAAUGUCGUGGAGGUUAGCGGAAUAUGUCAUGUAGCGGUGAAAUGCUUAGAUAUGACAUAGAACACCCAUUGCGAAGGCAGCUAACUACGCGAAUAUUGACGCUGAGGCACGAAAGCGUGGGGAUCAAACAGGAUUAGAUACCCCGGUAGU